rnacentral:rRNA from 1 species
UACAGAGGGUGCAAGCGUUAAUCGGAAUUACUGGGCGUAAAGCGUGCGCAGACGGUUACGUAAGUCAGAUGUGAAAGCCCCGGGCUCAACCUGGGAAUUGCAUUUGAGACUGCGUAGCUAGGGUGCGGAAGAGGGAAGCGGAAUUUCCGGUGUAGCGGUGAAAUGCGUAGAUAUCGGAAGGAACACCAGUGGCGAAAAGCGGCUUCCUGGUCCAGCACCGACGUUCAGGCACGAAAGCGUGGGGAGCAAACAGG